GGGUCCCGGGGGCCGCGCGGUGUCUUUGGUGGCCUUUAGGAGGGUCAAAGGAAAGAGUCUCCGGUUGUGGGUGAAAAAUCUCCGUUGAGGGACACCCCGUGGAAGAGGCUGGCGCUGUGCUCGUGCCGGGUGCUGGAAUUGCCUGUCUGGACGUGUGCUGAGCUCUCGCUGCUGUGGACUGUGCAGCCUCAGUUGCUGCAGGUUCCUGUUCUUCUCACCAGCUCAAAGUACACGUGGGGUUUUUUUGCCCUUCUAUAUAGAGCUGUUGAGUUUGGGUGAUUUUCCUGAAUUGAGGAUAUUGAAGAUCGAGAAGGAAGAUUUGUCUCUUUUUGUGCUUUUCUGUUGUUUUUAGCACCUGCUCAGCAUCUGAAUGUGGUUGGAAUACUGGAAACAUGAAAGGUUUUGGAUUCAGUGCUUAUUUGUGCAAACCCAGGUUUUUUAUCUUUUCUUUUUUUUUUUUUUUUUGAAAGGUCUCCACUGUUCCUGGUAGUUUUAUGUAGAAAAGGUCAU